UUUCCGUAGGUGAACCUGCGGAAGGAUCAUUACAGUGUUCUCUGCCCUCACGGGUAGAAACGCCCACCCUUGUAUAUUAUAUCUUUGUUGCUUUGGCAGGCCGCCCUCGGGCACCGGCUCCGGCUGGAUCGCGCCUGCCAGAGGAAACCCAAACUCCGAAUGUUAGUGUCGUCUGAGUACUAUCUAAUAGUUAAAACUUUCAACAACGGAUCUCUUGGUUCUG
rnacentral:misc_RNA from 1 species